rnacentral:lncRNA from 1 species
CUAUUUUAAUUCUCAAACAUAAUUGUUAUUACUUAAGCAACCUCGUUAACAGUUUGGAUUUAUAUCAAAUCGGAUGAGAAUCCAGGAUUUUUAAAGGGGGAGGGGUCUAGCAAGUCAACAUUUAAGGUAAAACUAUAUUUAAAAAAAGGACUACGCAUCUACCAUACAUGAAGCUCCUUGAAAAGGGCGUGCCUUCCGCUCCUUUCUCCCCAAAAAAAUGUGCCUCGGCAAU